GCCUAGGUAGCUCAGUUGGUAGAGCGCUCCCCUGAAGAGGGAGAUGUCCCCAGUUCAAAUCUGGGCCUAGGCACCA
rnacentral:tRNA from 1 species